CCUACGGGUGGCAGCAGUGAGGAAUAUUGGUCAAUGGACGCAAGCCUGAACCAGCCAUGCCGCGUGCAGGAAGACGGCUCUAUGAGUUGUAAACCUCUUUUGUCGGAGGACAAACGCCGGUACGCGUCUCUGUCUGAGAGUAUCGUACGAAUAAGGAUCGGCUAACUCCGUGCCAGCAGCCGCGGUAAUACGGAGGAUUCAAGCGUUAUCCGGAUUUAUUGGGUUUAAAGGGUGCGUAGGCGGUGCGAUAAGUUAGAGGUGAAAUGCCGGGGCUCAACUUCGGAAUUGCCGCUGAGACUGUUCGACUAGAGAGGGGUAGAGGUAGGCGGAAUGUGUGGUGUAGCGGUGAAAUGCAUAGAGAUCAUACAGAACACCGAUUGCGAAGGCAGUGUACCGAGCCAAUACUGACGUUGAGGCACGAAAGCGUGGGGAGCAAACAGGAUUAGAUACCCUAGUAGUC
rnacentral:rRNA from 1 species